rnacentral:rRNA from 1 species
CUACGUGCCAGCAGCCGCGGUAAUACGUAGGGUGCGAGCGUUAAUCGGAAUUACUGGGCGUAAAGCGGGCGCAGACGGUUACUUAAGCAGGAUGUGAAAUCCCCGGGCUCAACCUGGGAAUUGCGUUCUGAACUGGGUGGCUAGAGUGUGUCAGAGGGGGGUAAAAUUCCACGUGUAGCAGUGAAAUGCGUAGAGAUGUGGAGGAAUACCGAUGGCGAAGGCAGCCCCCUGGGAUGGCACUGACGUUCAUGCCCGAAAGCGUGGGUAGCAAACAGGAUUAGAUACCCUGGUAGUCCACGCCCUAAACGAUGUCGAUUAGCUGUUGGGCAACUUGAUUGCUUGGUAGCGAAGCUAACGCGUGAAAUCGACCGCCUGGGGAGUACGGUCGCAAGAUUAAAACUCAAAGGAAUUGACGGGGACCCGCACAAGCGGUGGAUGAUGUGGAUUAAUUCGAUGCAACGCGAAGAACCUUACCUGGUCUUGACAU